AGCAGUCGCCGCGGUAAGACGAACCGUGCGAACGUUGUUCGGAAUCACUGGGCAUAAAGGGCGCGUAGGCGGGUCAUCAAGUCCGUGGUGAAAGCCCCCGGCUCAACCGGGGAAGUGCUUCGGAUACUGGUGGUCUCGAGUGGGGUAGGGGCAUGCGGAACUUCCGGUGGAGCGGUGAAAUGCGUAGAUAUCGGAAGGAACGCCGGUGGCGAAAGCGGCGUGCUGGACCCCAACUGACGCUGAGGCGCGAAAGCCAGGGGAGCAAACGGGAUUAGAUACCCCUGUAGUCCCUGUCUCUUAUAC
rnacentral:rRNA from 1 species